rfam:Brachypodium distachyon strain Bd21 chromosome 2, whole genome shotgun sequence.
UUCAUACUCCAUCUGUCCAACAAAAGAUGUCUCAAGUUUGUCAAACUUUGGAUGUAUCUAGACAUGACUUAGUGUAUAGAUGCAUUUAAAUUUGAUCAAAGUUGAGACAUCCUUUGUUGGACGGAGGGAGUAUAUG